GGGGUAAACCUGCGAAACUCGAAUGAACGAACGGAGAGAUUCAUCGUCAUUUCGCGGCGUACGGACGCGCGUUCGAUGCCCCCGGCCUCGGCCGGUGGCACGUCGCGCGCACGUCACGUCCGCGGACGGCGUGCACUUCUCUCUUAGUAUCCACAUGCAUCGCGACCCGUUCGAUGUCGGUCUAAGCGCCGUUCGGGAGCCCCGUCGUCCCCGGCAACGGUGGCGGUGGGACCGCGACGGACGCCGACCGGCCGUCGGACGGUACUUACAAUGAAGCGCGCACGCGUUUACGCGUCCGGCCCGACGCAAGUCAACGUCGUAUCCGACGCUCCGCCCGAGUGCGGGCGUUGGUGCGGCGCGUCUGUCGUCGCAGCCGUGUGUCUCGGACAGUGCGCGUCUCUGUCAGCGAUGAUUCAGUUUCGGGCACUCGCAGGACCCGUCUUGAAACACGGACCAAGGAGUCUAGCAUGUAUGCGAGUCAUUGAGUAUAUUUUGACAAAACUGAAAGGCGCAACGAAAGUGAAGGCGUGCGCUAGUCGCGCGCUCAGGGAGGAUGGAGCGCCGAUCUCGGUCGGCCUCUCGCACUCCCGAGGCGUCUCGUUUCCAAUCCGUGAAUGCAGGCGCGCUC
rnacentral:rRNA from 1 species